CAGGACUGCAAAUGGAGUCCAGCCUGGAGUAGGCCUAGGUCCUCCCAAAGCACUUGUGUCCGGCCAAUCAGCUGCCAGAUCCUCUCCCGCUGCUCACUAGGGGUCUCUGUUCCUCCAGGUGCCCAUGGGCUGGACAAUGGGGCUGGCCACGGCAGCCCUGUUUGUGGGCCUGGCGAUGGUGGCCACCGGAUCCCCGCAGAUGACGUGUGCGCCCGAGCCUGUAAAUGCCACGGAUACUGACCUCUGCAACGGCCUUGAAGUUACCUACCCAGAGGUGGGGAACAUCGACUGCAAGGUUAUUCCUAGCUGCAACGGCUACAGAAAGAAGAUCACCACCUGGUCCCAGCCGAUGGUCAAGUACCCGAUGGC